rnacentral:lncRNA from 1 species
GGGGUUGUCCUCAGAUUUCCAUCAGCACCUGAGUCCUUGGAGCAUUCAAUGGGGUAUAAUUAUUAUACCUCCUCGGUGGUGAGGCACACUGAUUCUUUUUUUGAGGGCUUCAGUGUUGGCGAUUCUGAGGAGCAGUCCCAUUUUUUGGCUUACGAGAUGGAAACCUAGAGCAUUGUCAAAUUCUCUCCUUCUACCUCGGGGAGCACUCCUUACUUUGCUUUCUUCCCAUGAUAGAACUAGCGGGGGCUUCAUCUUCGGUGAAGCCUCCUCCAUGUGGAUGUACUUCUCCAUCUGGACCAGCAUAUUGGGGUAGUCCCAAGGAUAG